GAUGAACGCUGGCGGCGUGCCUAAUACAUGCAAGUCGAGCGGACGGACGAGAAGCUUGCUUCUCUGAUGUUAGCGGCGGACGGGUGAGUAACACGUGGAUACCCUACCUAUAAGACUGGGAUAACUUCGGGAAACCGGAGAUAAUACCGGAUAAUAUUUUGAACCGCAUGGUUCAAAAGUGAAAGACGGUCUUGCUGUCACUUCUAGAUGGAUCCCGGCUGCAUUAGCUAGUUGGUAAGGUAAAGGCUUACCAAGGCAACGAUGCGUAGCCGACCUGAGAGGGUGAUCGGCCACAUGGGAAGUGAGACACGGUCCAGACUCCUACGGGAGGCAGCAGUAGGGAAUGUUCCGCAAUGGGCGGAAGCCUGACGGAGCAACGCCGCGUGAGUGAUGAAGGUCUUCGGAUCGUAAAGCUCUGUUAUGAGGGAAGAACAUAUGUGUAAGGAACUGUGCACAUCUUGACGGUACCUAAUCAGAAAGCCACGGCUAACUACGUG
rnacentral:rRNA from 1 species